UCUUCUAAAUCAACAAUAAAGAAAAAAAUGAAAUAAAGGUCAAGGUUUUGAUACACUGCUUCUAAAAUACAUCCCAUACUGAGUAAAAUACCAUGAAAUCAUCUGUCAGAACCGACUUUCGUCCAGAGACUACAUUCCAAGAGCGUGAAGACAGCGAAGUGGCUAUUGAUGGUUUUCUUAGAUUCCAAUGCACCUUAAUCAUAGUCACAAGACUGUGCAUUUUCAUCACUGCAGGAGCUGGCAGAAUUUUGUGACAAUCCUGGGAAAUGUUUUCAGAUGGCCCCUUCUAUGAAUUAUGAAUGUUUCACAAAGCUCUAUGAUCCAACCUUCCUUGAUGAAAGGAUGUUAGGUGCUCAAUAAAUGCUUCAUGAAGAAAUGAAUCCAAUAACAUGCCAGGCUGGAUGCACACAGAGUGCCAAUGCAAGUGUUGAAGACCUGCUCCCUAACCCUACUUGGACGAUCUGUUCUAGUCCUUUGGAAGCUUCUUCCUCUGACAGGAUACUAUCCUAGAGAUUAUCCCACUCCCCAGGGAUAAGACUCAAUAAAGAUGGUGAUAAAUUAGGAAAGGGGAGAUGAUGGAGGAACCUGUGGAAGAGGAAAGAGGAGAACAGAAAAUGAGAAGACGAAAUCUAAGUGAGAGCACAUGAAUACGGCAGGAGAUCUAUGAGUCAAGAGGACCUGCACUGAAUGUUUAUCUUAUCAAUGACCCAUAGUAAUGAAAGCCAACUGUGCAAAAAAUAAUAUACCUACAGGAAUCUUGCAAGCUGUAGAAAAAAUCACGGGAUGGUUAUUUUAGAAUAUGGACACAAAUUCUUUAUUUAAAGCAUUAAGUAAUGUUAAUCUAUUCAUUCUGCAAAUACGUAUUAAAUGCUAGCCAUGGAUAUUACUAAACCAUGGAGAUUAUUAAAAAGAGCCUGGAAUCCCUUCCCUCUCUAUCCUGCUCCCUCUCUCAUCACGUGACACAUCAGCUCCCCAUUCGCCUUCUGCUAUGAUUGAAAGCUUCCCGAAGCCCUCACCAGAAGCAGAUGCUGGUGCCACAC